AGUGAACGCUGGCGGUAGGCCUAACACAUGCAAGUCGAACGGCAGCACAGGAGAGCUUGCUCUCUGGGUGGCGAGUGGCGGACGGGUGAGGAAUACAUCGGAAUCUACUCUGUCGUGGGGGAUAACGUAGGGAAACUUACGCUAAUACCGCAUACGACCUACGGGUGAAAGCAGGGGAUCUUCGGACCUUGCGCGAUUGAAUGAGCCGAUGUCGGAUUAGCUAGUUGGCGGGGUAAAGGCCCACCAAGGCGACGAUCCGUAGCUGGUCUGAGAGGAUGAUCAGCCACACUGGAACUGAGACACGGUCCAGACUCCUACGGGAGGCAGCAGUGGGGAAUAUUGGACAAUGGGCGCAAGCCUGAUCCAGCCAUACCGCGUGGGUGAAGAAGGCCUUCGGGUUGUAAAGCCCCUUUGUUGGGAAAGAAAUCCAGAUGGCUAAUACCCGGUUGGGAUGACGGUACCCAAAGAAUAAGCACCGGCUAACUUCGUGCCAGCCGCCGCCGUAA
rnacentral:rRNA from 1 species